rnacentral:rRNA from 1 species
UACGAAGGAUGAAAGCGUUAUCCGGAUUUAUUGGGUUUAAAGGGUGCGUAGGCGGACUUAUAAGUCAGUGGUGAAAUCUCGUUGCUUAACAACGAACGUGCCAUUGAUACUGUAGGUCUUGAGUACAGAUGCCGUUGGCGGAAUGUGUCAUGUAGCGGUGAAAUGCAUAGAUAUGACACAGAACACCGAUUGCGAAGGCAGCUGACGAAACUGUAACUGACGCUGAGGCACGAAAGCGUGGGGAUCAAACAGG